AGAAAAAGGAAGGUUUCAGGCGUCACGCAGGAGGAUGGUGAACUUCAUGCAGCGGAAGGGGAGGUGGGUGAGAUCGCCGUCCAUACAUCCGA